rnacentral:rRNA from 1 species
GGUGACAGGUGCUGCAUGGCUGUCGUCAGCUCGUGUCGUGAGAUGUAGGGUUAAGUCCCGCAACGAGCGCAACCCCUGUCUUUAAUUGCCAUCAUUGAGUUGGGCACUUUAAAGAGACUGCCGGUGUUAAACCGGAGGAAGGUGGGAUGACGUCAAGUCCUCAUGGCCUUUAUGUCUGGGGCUACACACACGCUACAAUGGCCAGUACAAUAGGUUGCAAGACCGCGAGGUGGAGCCAAUCCAUAAAGCUGGUCUCAGUUCGGAUUGCAGGCUGCAACUCGCCUGCAUGAAGUCGGAGUUGCUAGUAACCGCGCGUCAGCUAUAGUGCGGUGAAUACGUUCCCGGGCCUU